rnacentral:rRNA from 1 species
AACGAACGCUGGCGGCAUGCCUAACACAUGCAAGUCGAACGAGAUCUUCGGGUCUAGUGGCGCGCGGGUGCGUAACGCGUGGGAAUCUGCCCUUUGGUUCGGAAUAACGGUUGGAAACGACUGCUAAUACCGGAUGAUGACGAAAGUCCAAAGAUUUAUCGCCAGAGGAUGAGCCCGCGUAGGAUUAGCUAGUUGGUGUGGUAAAGGCGCACCAAGGCGACGAUCCUUAGCUGGUCUGAGAGGAUGAUCAGCCACACUGGGACUGAGACACGGCCCAGACCCCUACGGGAGGCAGCAGUGGGGAAUAUUGGACAAUGGGCGAAAGCCUGAUCCAGCAAUGCCGCGUGAGUGAUGAAGGCCUUAGGGUUGUAAAGCUCUUUUACCCGGGAUGAUAAUGACAGUACCGGGAGAAUAAGCUCCGGCUAACUCCGUGCCAGCCGCCGCCGUAA